CGGGGAGGACUUUAGGGCCCCCACCAGCUGCUCAGGGGUGGGGGACCCCUGAGCAGCUGGUGGGGGCCCUAAAGUCCUCCCCCACCCCCCCCCCC